rnacentral:rRNA from 1 species
UAUUGCGCAAUGGGGGCAACCCUGGCGCAGCAACGCCGCGUGAAGGAUGAAGGUUUUCGGAUUGUAAACUUCUUUUGUUAGGGACGAACNCUGACGGUACCUAACGAAUAAGCUCCGGCUAACUACGUGCCAGCAGCCGCGGUAAUACGUAGGGAGCAAGCGUUGUCCGGAUUUACUGGGUGUAAAGGGUGCGUAGGCGGCUUUGUAAGUCAGAUGUGAAAUCUAUGGGCUCAACCCAUAAACUGCAUUUGAAACUACAGAGCUUGAGUGAAGUAGAGGCAGGCGGAAUUCCCUGUGUAGCGGUGAAAUGCGUAGAGAUAGGGAGGAACACCAGUGGCGAAGGCGGCCUGCUGGGCUUUAACUGACGCUGAGGCACGAAAGCGUGGGUAGCAAACAGG